rnacentral:rRNA from 1 species
UUUACUGGGCGUAAAGAGAGUGUAGGCGGCUCACCCCCGGAAGUGCGCUGGAAACUGGUUAGCUAGAGUAUGGGAGAGGGAAGUGGAAUUCCUGGUGUAGCGGUGAAAUGCGUAGAUAUCAGGAGGAACACCGGCGGCGAAGGCGGAUACUGACGCUGAGGCGCGAAAGCGUGGGGAGCAAACAGGAUUAGAUACCCCGGUAGUCACUGGCG